UUUGCGUUCGGGUAAAACUGUGAUAUACCGGCGCAUAGUCAGGGAAGCUGGUGAAAGUCCAGCGCGAGCCCGUCACUGUAACCGGGGAGUAAGCCGCGGUAUGCCACUGGUUUCGUUUGAAACCGGGAAGGCGUUGGUAAACAAAGAUCCGGAAGCCAGGAGACCUGUAAAUUCACGUAACGACCA
rfam:Actinobacteria bacterium CG2_30_50_142 cg2_3.0_scaffold_6394_c, whole genome shotgun sequence.